rnacentral:lncRNA from 1 species
ACCCUAAAAAUGAGUCACGCCUCAAGCAGCAGAAGCUCAUGAUUUCGCUGAGCUACCAUCAGAUUACAAGACUCGAAUCUGUCACUAUUGCUUAGGCAGAUGCGAGAUCGAAGGAAAAAAAAAAAUCUGUUAAUGAACAGUUUUAUAAAGCAGACAAGUGGUGAAGCUAUAGGAUCUUUACAAAGUCACCUGUAGAUAAAAACCUCAACAUCUGAUCAUUAUCACCCCGGUUUAAACCCCGCUCUUCAUGGUCGAGUAUGUCGCUAUAGCGCGACUUGGGGAACCAACGCAGCAGGUAGUAGGAGUACGCGAACCCGACGACGGCACAAACGGGGAUCGUGAUCUCUGUUGCGAGAGCUGAGAGCAAUGCCAUCCUCGCCGGAACUCUAGACUGCGUCGCUGGAAUGGCUGGACUCGACACCUAUUACAGAGAGACACAGAGAGACACAUAGAGGGGGAACAACCUAAGGCCAUUGACGUAGAAAGCAAGAGUGGACAUAAUCUUGUCAUGUAAUUUUGACACGUCAAUAUAAGAGGUGAUUGGUUUCCGAUUCGGUCCGAUUCCACUUGGGAACUGGAAACUUGACCGGGAGGACUGGUUCCCAUUUUUUGGGACUAGAAACCGGACCGAACAGUCCUAGGACGGGGAGCCAGACCGGACCAACCAAUCCGGUUCGAUGGAAAUGGCCACUUAGCAAAAAUAAAUUUUAAAAAAAAAAAUAUUAGAGUCAUUACAAUUUUAGGUUUAUUGCUAUUUUUAAUAAAUUUAAAAAAAAAAUAUUUUUUAAUUAAAGAGUCGGUCCGGUCCAGUCUAGUUUCCGCCGGAACUGGGAACCAGACCUAAAAUCACAAAUUCCAUUUUUAUAGAAUUGGGAAUCGGACCAAAUCAGCUGGUCCAGUCUAGUCUGAACGGUCCGAUAUGCUCACUCCCAAUCAAUAUCUUGACUCCACCCAUUGCAGGUCUUCGCUUGGAAAAUGCAAUAUAGUAUACGACUUGACAGAUUGUUUCAUGAAAUAUAUAUAUAUAUAUAUAUAUAUAUAUAUAUAUUUUCCUUCGUUUUUUUAAGAAAAUAAAUUAACAAAAAAUAUAAUCCUAAUCAACAAAAAAUGUUAUCUCAUCAAAGCUUAAAUUCAAAAAAAUGAUUUCCCCUUUAAAAGAAUUUUUUGAAUAUAUUAACUAACGAAACAAUUGUUUUUAUGAAAAUAUAUUUUAAAAAUUCGAAUUUUAAUUUCUUUUCUUUUCUUCCUUUUUCUUCUUUUUCUCAGCCCAUUGCUGGCCGGCGGCCAGCGAGCAUUGAGCCUUGCCAUCAAGUGAGCUCAUGGCCUCUAGUGGCGAGCCAACGAGGCUUGAGCCUCGCCGCCAGAGGGCUACGACCUCACCAGGGUUGACUAGGCCAGCCCUCGCCAGAAUUUGGAGUAGUCAUAAGUGCCAAGAAGUGAAGAUUACAUUAUCGAGUCAAACUGACAUAUAUUUUAGGAACCAGGUAUAGUCAAAACUACUAAAUUAAGAUUCACCAUGACAAACCUCCAAUUAGCUUACGGAGUAGCUAUAUCUCCAAGACCAAAGAGCAGAGACUGAAGUCGAGGAAGCACGUCCCCCUGAGGCCUAAUCACAAGCAGAACGCCAA